ensembl:lincRNA
CACAGAGUUUGGUUUUACCAAGCAAGCAGAAGGGGCUCUUCUAAGAGAGCCAGGGCCAUUAGGCUUGCAGGUGGCUCUGAGAUCCUUUCCCUAGAGGAGUUAGGGGACUUGGACAGCGCGCUAAGCCUCCUGGAGGCGGAGGGACGCCUUGCGCCACUCCUACUGUCAGGCAGGGUUGUUUCUGUUUUCAAAAACUUUCAGUAUGCGCUGGCAGCUUCUCUCAGUUCCAUCAAGAUCGCAGAGCUAUCUAGGGCCCUACUGUGACGGUAUUCCAAACUCUCGCUGCAAGAGGGCAAGGUGACGAUUAGGUUGGAUAGAUGCUGACGACCAAGUUCUCGGUCGGGCUUCAGGCGGAGAAGCCAGAUGAGGUCUGAAUGCUGCAGCUCGAUGUUCCGGGCUCCGCGGCGGCUCUUCGCUUCCCUGGGAUUGCUGCUGCGGCCCCGAAGGAGACACGAAGGUGGCGGGAGCGAGGCGGCGUCCCGGCGUCGCUCCGUCUCCCUGCCGCCCUGGGCGACGCUGUGACCGCUGAAGGAUGUCAGGAGCCGAGCCAGCGAGGACCUGACGCGCAGCGCUGAGCUGGCGCAGCUUUCUGGGGCCGGGGGAGCCUCAGUGAGUGCGAAGCCCGCGCCCAGCGUGUCCUCCCGGCGCCGUGGAUUCUCGGCUUCCCCAGGAGACAGCCGAAGGCCUGCGGACGACCCCCAACCCACUCUCAAACCCCUGGAUAGGCGAUGGCAGCAAGAUAUUCUGGACUUAACCCCGAGCUAGGUUGGAGUAUGAAGAUUGGCAUAUUGUUGGGUCAGACAGCCCCACGUGAAACCCACCUACUGAGAUUGCAGCCCGGAAAGCGGAACUGCACUUUUUACCCCCACCCCUGGGAGGGGGUUCGCUGUGAAUUCCAUCAGCUUGUAUGAAGUAGAGAACCUUCAGAGGCGGGGAUAUUUUGCCCUAAAUUCGAAUUAAGAGCUAAAGGAAAGAGUAUACUCAGGCAGCUUGUACUGUGUUAUUUACAAUGGAAUUUGGAAGGAUGUCUGAAUUGAGAUGUAGUGGGAAGAGCCAAGGACUGAGAAUUGGCCAAUUUGGGUUCCUUAUACCCAGUCCUAAAGCCUGAUAGCCUUGAGGUCUUGAGCCGUCAAGAAAUGUCCUAGAAAUUUAGUUCCCUGUGUGAGGUGAGGGAGCAUCCUCCUGCUCUGCCUUUCUGGGGAGUUGAAAGAUAAAUAGACUGGAGGGAGAGAGAGUAUUUGAAAGUAUGAAGUGUGGUCUCUACAAGUGAGGGCAUCACCACAUUCUGCCCACAUCCCUCUCCUCCAGGCUUCCAACACAACCUUGUCUUGAGAAAGGUUAAAGGCAAUGACUUCUUGGUAACCCUGGGGUUUUCAUAAUUACCUAAGUGUGAGAGAGCAUGUUUCUCCAUGGCUUCAAGUUCAAGUAUGAAAAUACUUCCACCUGAAACUGCUCAUCACUGUGUGACAUCAGAAGACAGGUUUUCCUCAACUUCCUUAGGAACUGUACCAAGUAGGUGAGAUGUUAGGAUCCUUGCUGAAAAUUGAGGGUCACGGACCCUGAUGUUUAAAUAUGAUUAGAUAUAAUCUUCAUGUAACAAUUAAACUCUGAACAUGUUGGCUUUUUGAGCUCUUGUUUUCUGACACAGGGAAAAUUCUAUCAGAGGCAAGGAGAAACAUUCAAGGGUAAGCAUUUUCAUUAGUCUUUAGGAGAAGAUAAGAGAAGAGCUAAGAAUGAACACAUUGCUUGCAGACACACCCUACAACCCCCUACGCCCUACCCCACCCCAAAAUUGGAAGAUGCUCAGAUAGUAGUCCUGACAAAUUUGAAUAGUUUCCUUUGUUACUAAAUCUAGAUUAAUUUUUCUAAAUGGAAAGAAGAAAUUCUCAUGGUUGGUUGUGUUAUCAUUAAAAUUUAAGCUUUUCUUCCUAAGUAUGUGUGUUCUGCCUUCCAGAGAUAAUAAAUUUAAGCAAUCCUAGUGCCUUUAAGUUUUAUUGUGAUUUUUCAUGGUACCUAAUCAGAUCUUUGAUUUUUCUAUUGUAAUUUAAAAGAGUUAAAAGAUGACUCAGUCAAGAAGUUGAGAAAUAAAACUAGGCCUCCUUAGUUGUGCUCUUAACACUAAACUUGUAUGUAAGUCUUUAUGCAAUAAUAAUGCUGGUGAUAUUAAAGUUAACUUUUAUAGAACAUUGUGUACCAGACUGAGAUAUGCAUGCUACAGUUCAUUUGGUUCUCACAAUAAUUUUAUAACACUUGAAGCACAGAGAGGUUAAGUGCUUAAGGUCACAUAGCUAAUGCAUGAUUUAUCUAGAUUGGCAUAAAACUGUUUUUAUUAUUUUUUGUGUGUCUGGAGCUCAAACCCAGGGUCUUGUGCAUGCCAGGCAAGCACUGUAUCACUAAGAUACCCCUAGCUCUUGGCCCUUGACAUAAAAUUAUGAAUUGGAUUGGGAUUGGUGUUUGUGUGUCUGUGGGCGCGCGCCCGUGUUGUAAUUUCCAUACUGGGUUUUAUUCCACAUG